UUCACUUGAAUCAAGCUACUCCCAGCUUCUGCACACAUCUGGUCCAACACUACUUUGGGAUAUGUUUUGCUAAGGUUGCUGUUCUGCCUGGAAGGCCCUCAUUCCUCAGCUGCAUGACCCGAGGUUUCCUUCCUCUAAGACCUUGCUAGCGGCUCCUAGAUGCCUUCCAAACCAAAUUCUCUUCUAUGAGAUCAGCUCUUAGCUUUGUAUUCCCUGGCACUUAUGGAGUAUGUUAUGGAGAAAGACUGUCUAGUUGAAGGAAAACAAGCUCUGGGCUCCCACUGAUUCUACGUUAUGAGGAAUUUCUCAAGAUUUUAUCUUUACUGAUUGAUUUCUAAGGGAUGCUACUUGCUUCUAACAUCAUGUUAAUCAGCAAUGUAAGCUCUGGCAUAGCUUACCAACCCUAAGAGUGGCAGGGAGUUGCUCUGUGUAAUGGUGGAGUACUCAGCUGUCUUCUCCAUGGUGGUUGAGUUCUCUGGAUGGGAUCAGCUUUCUUCACAUGUCACUGAAGUGAAAGGGGACAAUUGAAACCUAUUUUGACAGGUUUAAAAGCUAAAGCCAAGCCAGGAAGAGGAAGACAAGAUGAGAAACCCCAAAUCAAGGUAAGAGAAGAAAAUAAGUGCAACAUGCCAGAAAUCCAGUAAAGCAGUUCAAGUAUCAGAAGAGCGUGAAUCAAAACCAAGUGCAAGAAGAGGCACCUUGACAUUGAACUGAAGGCCACCAGGUACUCACUGGGUCAAUGACUCUUCUCAUUUUUAUUCUCCUGCCAGUGCUUCCAAUCGCUGAACUGAACUGGGAACAAAUCAACAAGGGAAACCAAGAGAUGCAUUCCUUGAAGUUCAGCCUCCAGGCCUCAAGUAAGGCAGAGGAAGAGAAUACAUAGAUCUGUGGAGAAGAGUGGUGAUGGUGGGAGCUGCCAAUAAAGAACUAUCAAAAAAGGAUGAUGCAACAGAAAAGCCGUCACCAGAUACCAGCACCUUAAUGUUGGACUUCUCAGCCUCCAGAACUGUAAGAAAUAAAUCCCUGUUCUUUAUAAAUUACCCAGUCUCAGGUAUCCUGCUAUAGCAGCACAAAAUGGACUAUGAUAGAAAAUUGGUAUGAAGGAGUAGUACCAUUGUUAUAACAAAUACCUAAAAAUGGAAGCCACUCUGGAACUGGGUAAGGGGUAGAGUAUGGAAGAAUUUAGAGGAGCAGGCUAGAAAAAGCCUAAAUUGCUGUGUAUUACUCCAGGAUGGUAAGAAAUAAAUCUCUGUUCUUUAUAAAUUGCCCAGACUCACAGCACAAAACAAAUUAAGACAUUAAGAUUUGCCCCAUUCUUAGAAUUCAUUUCUUCCAUUUUCCCUUUAAUUAAAUCAAUGCCAGCAUCUAAGCAGUGUGCACCUUUUGACCAUAGUCUUUCUAAUUGACCAGAAGCUUAGAUGUGGAAAAUGCAAAAACUAUGCACAUUUCUGAUGGGUUUAACUUCUGAGAAAUUUUUACAAGGUUUUCCUUAUUUUAUCUGCUCCAGUAAACCUGUGGUUUCAUGAACAGGCCUAGAAUUUGAGAUUCAGCUUCUAAACUUCAAAGGUGACCUUUCAACCCAUUUGUUUAUAGACUCGGUAUUAACCUUUUGAGUUCUAGAAUAGGGUUUUAGAACUUACUUUCAUAAAAGUUUAUAUAGUCAAUUCCAUUCAUUUAUGCUAAGGACAUAGAAUAUUUCUAGAUUGCACAAUAUGUUUCUGUGGGAAUUGAAUGGAAAUCCAGGUUUCCUGACAAGAAACAAAGGAUCUUUGGGAGGCCGAGACAGGCGGAUCACGAGGUCAGGAGAUCGAGACCAUCCUGGCUAACA
rnacentral:lncRNA from 1 species